GACGAACGCUGGCGGCGUGCCUAAUACAUGCAAGUAGAACGCUGAAGCUUGGUGCUUGCACCGAGCGGAUGAGUUGCGAACGGGUGAGUAACGCGUAGGUAACCUGCCUGGUAGCGGGGGAUAACUAUUGGAAACGAUAGCUAAUACCGCAUAAGAGUAGAUGUUGCAUGACAUUUGCUUAAAAGGUGCAAUUGCAUCACUACCAGAUGGACCUGCGUUGUAUUAGCUAGUUGGUGAGGUAACGGCUCACCAAGGCAACGAUACAUAGCCGACCGGAGAGGGUGAUCGGCCACACUGGGACUGAGACACGGCCCAGACUCCUACGGGAGGCAGCAGUAGGGAAUCUUCGGCAAUGGACGGAAGUCUGACCGAGCAACGCCGCGUGAGUGAAGAAGGUUUUCGGAUCGUAAAGCUCUGUUGUAAGAGAAGAACGAGUGUGAGAGUGGAAAGUUCACACUGUGACGGUAUCUUACCAGAAAGGGACGGCUAACUACGUG
rnacentral:rRNA from 1 species